rnacentral:rRNA from 1 species
UACGUAGGGUCCGAGCGUUGUCCGGAAUUACUGGGCGUAAAGAGCUCGUAGGUGGUUUGUCGCGUUGUUCGUGAAAACUCACAGCUCAACUGUGGGCGUGCGGGCGAUACGGGCAGACUAGAGUACUGCAGGGGAGACUGGAAUUCCUGGUGUAGCGGUGGAAUGCGCAGAUAUUAGGAGGAACACCGGUGGCGAAGGCGGGUCUCUGGGCAGUAACUGACGCUGAGGAGCGAAAGCAUGGGGAGCGAACAGG